rnacentral:lncRNA from 10 species
ACCGCGCCUGUGCCUUGGCCUAGAACCAAGGCUUCAGGCCGCGGGGUCUGGGGCUCCCUGGGGGCCGGCUGCUAUUCCUGGCCGCCUGUCCAUUCAUCCGUCAGUGCAUUGGGUCGUUCAUUCAUUCAUUCAAGGAAUCUGUGAGUUCCUUCCAUGCGCCCCUUCCAUAUGCGCCCCUCCCCCGCAAGCCCUUCCUGGCUCUCUGAAGACCUUUCUGACUCUGGGAUUCCCUUGCACCCCAUCUCUCACUUAAAGCCUUCCAGUUGAGGCCGGGCGCGGUGGCUCACGCCUUUAAUCCCAGCAUUGUGGGAGGCCGAGACGGCUGAUCCCUUGGGGUGUUCGAGACCAGCCUGGGUAACAGUGAGACCCCCAUUUCUACAGAAAAAGAAACAAAAAGCCUUCCAGUUGUUUCGCAUAAGGGUCAAAUCCACACUCCGUGUCCUAGGCUACAGGCUCCACAGGACCUGACCCUGAUCCCCCACCCUCAGACCUCAGGCCUCCUCUCCACAGCUCCUCUGUCCUUUCUCCCUCAAGACUUGUAUUUUUUAUUGUGGCGGGGGGUGGGGGGUGGCAGGUAGGGAUAGGGUCUUGCUAUGUUGCUCAGGCUGGUCUCAAACCCAUGAGCUCAAGCGAUCCUCCCGCCUUGGCCUCCCAAAGUGCUGGGAGCCCAGCCCCUACACAGUCUUGGUGCCUCUCUGUUUCUUGUCUCUCUCCCCACCUUGCCCAUCUUGCUCACUGCUGUAUCUGUCAGUUCUUGGCAUAGUGCCUGGACCAAGGGAGACACUUAAAUUGUUUCUGAAUGAACAUUUGAAAGACAGGCACUGGCCAAGCCCUUGCAGGGCUUACCGGCUAAUGAGAGAGACAGGUAAGGAACAGUCAUCACCUCAGAGUACCCUCUGUACUCAGCUUCAGGAAGAUGUGCGUAAAAGAAGGCUCUGGAAUGCUCCCAGGGCCCUUCUUAAGCUAAAGUCUCAGUCCUGUCCCUCACCCUCCCCUAGUGACCGUUUUCUUGAAGUUAGAGCCAGGGUCUUAUCAAAGAGGCUCACAAAUUCAUGAUUCCCCCAGGUGCUCUGAGGCCAAGGCUGCUGGGCUACUUGCUCAGCAGGGACCCAGGCACCUGAACCCCCCAUCCUGUGCCCGUUAGGAAUCACCAGUAACAGGUAUCAUAAACAGUGUUUCCAAAAUGGCAGCACUGGGCUAAGUCCUUCAAAGUAUCAUCUCAAUUAAACUUCACAAUAAUCCUAUUCAUGUUGAUGCCACAAUUAUCCUGUUUCACAGAUGGCAACUAUCUACUCCCAAGGAUCAUUGUGAAGAUUGAGAUAAUGUAGCUGACUCCUGUACAGUACCUGGCACACAGUAAAUGCUCACUAAAUGAGUUAUUAUAAUGAUGGUAGACAAGACAGUUUUCCUUAGUCAUUACAGCAAUGUAUACACCCACCAGCAAAGAUAGAGCCCAAAUCCUCCACAUCCUAGCUGACAUGUUCAUCAAGAAUAGAAUGGAUACAUAAAUGUUGUUAUAUUAAUUCAAUGGAAUACCACACAGCAAUAAAAAGGACAAACCAAGGAAUCAUGCAGCAACAUGAGAAUUUCAGAGACAACAUGUUGAGCCCAAGAAGCCAGACACACUUAUUUGAAGUUUCCAUUUAUUUGAAGUUUAAGAAAAGACAGCAGUCACCGUAACAGUAUUUACCCCUAGGGUGAGGAGUAAUGACCGGGAGGAGACCAGGGGAAACUUCUAGGGGCUAGACAUGUAUGCUUUGAUCUGAGUGGUGGUUUCAUGACUGUAUACAUACAUAAAAGCUCAUUGAUUGAUACAUACAUAAAAGUUCACACCUAGGAUUUGUGCACUUUACUGAAUGUAUCUUUUACUCAAUAAAAAUUAAAUAAUAAUAAUAAUUAUUAUUUAUUUUUUAGACAGAGUGUCGUCCAGACUAGAGUGCAAUGACGCGAUCUCAGCUCACUGUAACCUCUGCCUCCUGGGUUCAAGUGAUUCUCCUACCUCAGUCUCCCGAGCGGCUGGGAUUAUAGGCAUGCGCCACCUCGCCCAGCUAAUUUUUGUAUUUUUAGUAGAGACGGGGUUUCACCAUGUUGGCCAGGAUGGUCUCCAUCUCUUGACCUCGUGAUCCGCCCGCCUUGGCCUCCCAAAGUGCUGGGAUUUCAGGAGUGAGCCACUGUGCCCGGCCUUAUUAUUAUUGUUGUUAUUAUUAUUAUUAUUUGAGACGGAGUUUAGCUCUUGUUGCCCAGGCUGGAGUGUGAUGACGCUAUCUCAGCUCACUGCAACCUCCGCCUCCCAGGUUCAAUCGAUUCUGCUGCCUGAGCCUCCCAAGUAGCUGAGAUUAUAGGCGCCUGCCACCACGCCCGGCUAAUUUUUGUAUUUUUAAUAGAGACAGUGUUUCACUAUGUUGGCCAGGCUGAUCUCAAACUCCUGGCCUCAAGUGAUUCUCCCUCCUUGGCCUCCCAAAGUGCUGGGAUUACAGGUGUGAACCUCUGCGCCCAGCCAAUAAUUAUUAUUAUUAUUUUUUAAUUCAAGACAUAGCAAAGCAAGACACAAUCCCUGCCCUCUUGGGAGCUUCCGGUGUGGAAGGGAGGCUGUCAUGCAUUUGCAGUGUAGCAUGAUAGGGCUGGGAAGGGAAGAGUCUUGGGGCUAUGACUUCAUGUGGAGAAGGAUGUAUCCAACCCAUCCUUGGAUGGCAAGAAGUUUGCAUGAAGAAAAUGGCAUGUAAGCCAGAAGGAUGAACACAUUUAAUAGGAACAAUAGAAAAGUUGUGUCCAAGAUGGCAGACACAGCCUAUACAGCAGCUUGGAGUCUUCAGAAACCACUGAUGUCUUUUGUUUUCAUUUUUAUUUUUUUUGAGACGGAAUUUUGCUCUUUUUGCUCAGGCUGGAGUGCAAUGGCGCGAUCUCAGCUCACUGCAACUUCCGCCUCCUGGGUUCAAGCGAUUCUCCUGCCUCAGCCUACCAAGUAGCUGGGAUUACAGGCAUGUGCCAUCAUGCCUGGCUAAUUUUGUAUUUUUAGUAAAGAUGGAGUUUCACCAUGUUGGCCAGGCUGGUCUCAAACUCCCGACCUCAGGUGAUCCGCCCACCUGGGCCUCCCAAAGUACUGGGAUUAUAGGCAUGAGCCACCGCACCCGGCCCAAUGUCCGCCUUUCUAGGGCAGCUCACCUUUGGGUGUUUGGGUUCAUUCCAUUCUGUGCUUGCCUCAAGUCCAGAGCUCCCGAGCAUUGGCCCAGCCUUGAGGGAGACUGUGGAUUGCAUCAGAGGUGGUGAACCAGCUGCUGUGUAGGGAGGGCAACACCUCCCCUUUGCUAUGAGACUUUGGGAAGGUUCUCCAACCUCUCUGUGCUUUAAUCUUCUCAUCUGUAAAAUGGGUAUAAUUCUAAUUGUCCCAACGUCAUGGGGUUGCGGUGAGGGGUAAAUGUAUUAAUACCCCUCAAGUGUUUUCAACAGUAUCUGGCACAAGGUAACUGCUCAAUUUGUGUUGUUAUUACUCAUAAAGAGAUUUGGGGGUUAUUUGCUUAGCUUCCUAUAUGGUUCAGGCUCUGAUGAUGGAGGACGGGCACCAGGACAUAAAGGUUAAGGAGAAGGAAGACCAAGGGAUUGCAAGGGGGAAGUCCUUCCCAGAUAGGAUUCCUUAACAUGGGAUCCCUGGACAGCCUUUGGAGACCCAGGAGCCUGCCUACUGUUGGGCCCAUGUGCAUUUCCCCAGGCAGCUGGAGCCUAACUUCUACCAGGUCCUCAAAGGCGUCUUAGCGGACAAUUAAAGAGCCCCGCUGCUAGCAAAGGUUGAUCAGGGAAGGUGUGGGCUGUGGCUGGCAGUGGAGCUGGCUAAGGCCUUGCUGUGGGGCCAAGCUGGACAUCUGUGGCCACCUGGAUGAGCCAGUUAUCUUGUGAGGCUACACAUGGAAAUACUAGAAGAGGAGGGGGCCACACUAUACCAGUGUGAGCUGUGAAGUGGGAGCCGGGCAAGAUGAACAGGACCAGGCUGUCAACCACAGAGUGUCUGCGGCCCAGCGCCAGGGAACGUGAGCAUGGGAAAGCCCUGGAGGCUUGGCUCCUGUCCUCCCUGGGCGGGACAAUCUGCCUGCACAGGCCCCCCAGCCAGCCAGGCAAGGGCCCAACCCAUGCUCCCCAAGGCUUGGUUCCUGCUCAGAACCAGCGCACACUGCUGUGUAAAGCCACCAAGGUGGGAAGGAUGAAAACCAGUGAAAGGGUGCUUCUGUCCCGGCCUAACCUCCUCUUACAUUGGGGAGCAAGCCUAGCCAUCGCUUCUUCAGAUGGAGGCUGUGACCAAUGAAAACUUCCAGGGAAAAUUAAAAUUGGCCUUUUAACUUAGUGUAUGAUAGGAUAAUGAUGGCAGCUGACAUUUUUGGAUUCUGUAUUAACUUCAGGGUUGUAAGGAGUAGAGACAGGGUGGGCAGUGGGCACAGUGGCUCACACCUGUAAUCCUAGCACUUUGGGAGGCCGAAGUGGGAGGAUCUUUUGAGCCCAGGAGUUUGACACCAGCCUGGGCUACAAAGCAAGACCCCCAUCUCUACAAAAAAAUAGAAAAAUAAGCCAGGCAUGGUGGUGCACGCCUGUAGUCCCAGCUACUCUGGAGGCGAAGGCAGGAGGAUCACUGCAGGUCAAGGAUGCAGUGAGCUGUGAUCUCACCACUGCAGUCCAUCCCGGGUGACACAGCAAGCCCCUGUCUCUGGAAAAAAAAAAAAAAAAAAAAAGGGCAGAGACUAAUUUGAAGAUGCUUGAAAGAGUGGGAGUGUGUGAUGAGGUUGGGGAGGUGGGGGUGGCUGGGCAGAUACGCAGCAGGAAGCUACCCUCUCAGCACCAGUUAACACACAAGAGUGUUCUGUUCUGUGUCUGACUGCCAUACCCUCAGCUUUCAUUUAAAUCUCAUUUUGGGAUUUCUGAAGACAGGCACAGCUGCAAGACAGAGCACGGGCUGGGAUAGCAAAGGCCCUGGCCUCUCCCUUCCUGUCAGGGUCCAGCAUUUUCCUCCAAGCUACACCCUCUCUGCACUUUAAUGGGGGAGGGGCCUUGGCCAAUCAGAAUCCCGCAUUCCUGGCCAUGCGAUUGGCUCAGGCAUAAGCACAAUGACCCAGGCUGGGCCAAUGACGAGCCUCAGGAGUUGCUAAGCCGACUAGAAGUGGGCCUGCAGCCAUGAGGCCAUCUUGCCACAUAAGUUGACCUUUCGUAGAGGGAAGUCCUUCCUGGAAAGCAGAGCCAGAGGUUCUGGGAGGCAGACUUCUGAUCCCUUGAGGUUCUGGAUCCAAUCAAGCCCAAGACUGGAUUACUAGAAGCUUCCUGGAUACAGGAGCCAAUUCGCUAUUUUCAUGUUUUUAUGUAGCCAGUUGGGUUUGGACUUCUUAUAACUUGCAACCAAGACAGUCAUGGAUGUCAAAGGACAAUGAACCGUGAAAGUUUGUCUAGUCCUGGGCAGGCCCAUUUGUGCCUACCAGUGAGCCUCCUAGUAGUCCUGCAGACCCACGUUGGCCCCUCAUGUGGAAGGUCUGGAAAUCCACUGGCCCUGGUUGUGUAGAUGCCAGGCCUGCACAUGGGAGUGGACAUUAGACUCAUUGUCUCAAUUCCCCAGGAAUCCUGACUUCUCCUGGCAUCAUCCCUCGGCCACACGCUUACAUCAGUCAUAUGGGAAUCCACUGAUGACUCAGCCUGGUGGCCUUGGAAGCCUCUGUGUGCCAGCCCAGGGCAAGCUCUAGUGGGCUGGAGUGGACCGACAUGGCCCUGCCCUCCAGGAGCUCCCAGGAACACCUCACACACUCUGUGGGAAAGCUGGGGUCUAACCAAGCAGGACUCAUCUGGAACACCACUGGCCAGCCCAGCAUGCUAGCAAAGCUGUGAAUUCCUGGAUACGGGAGGGCCUCUGGCUCAGGGGACAAUAGGAUGAUUUGGCACAGUUGAGCCCACACGUGUGCAGAGCAACAGCAGGAGGCUGCCCUCUUUGGGUGGAGCCACCUCACCCUAUGUCUUUACUCCCUUAAAUAUCAACCUGGCCAAGGUCGUUGUCUGACCUUGGGACCUCACGUGGGAAUUCAGAGCUGACUCAGAGUCUGCAUGAUAGGGUCCUAGAUGAGGUUAGGAUUAGGAUUAAACAAACAGAACAAGAGACGGAAGAAGGCUUUGCAGAGGAGUUAGAUUGGGAGCGUCCCAGGCCGGGGGGCCGGAGUAUUCCCCAGGGCCAACCAUAGGCUCUGGACAGCCAAGUUUGCUGAAUAAAUAAGUGCAUGGAUGAAUGGAUGAGGGCAAAGGUGAAAGCUACGAAAGGCGAUAGGAAGCCAAGGAGGCCGGGUGCACCGAGUCAGGGGCGCAUUCCUUCGCUGGUAUUCUGGACACAAAGGAGGCUUCACUCCCAAGGCCAGGGUUUCUCCACCUCCCAACUUCUUCCCCUCUUUUCUCCUCUGCUGUGAGAGCCUCUCCACCUUCAGCCUUUCACUAUGAAUUCUAUUUCUCACUUAGAUCCACUUGUUUGAAAAGUAGAUUUCAAUCCAUUAUCAUAAAUGGAAGAAGAGCAGCCUUGCUAGCCACAAAGAGAAGGGAAGUAAGAAAAUGUUUAUAACUCAGGACAGCAACAGGAGGCAGAGGCUGCUGCCUGCCCAAGACAUGAGCCUGAGGCCCUGAUCUCCACCUGUGUAGAGAAGGAGGUGACUCUGUGAUUCCGUUUAUGGGAGGUCCCUAGAGCAUUCAAAUUCACAGACACAGAAAGUUGAAUGGUGGUUGCUGGGGGCUGGGGGAGGGACAUGAGGAGUUUUCGUUUAAUGGUACAGAGUUUCAGUUUUACAAGAUGAAAAGAGUUCUGUGGAUGGAUGAUGGGAGGGCUGCACGCUAUGAAUGUACUUAAUGUCACUGCAUUGUACACCUAAAAAUGGUUAAAAUGGUCAAUUUUAUGUUGUGUAUAUUUUACCACAAUUUAUUUUAUUUUUUUUGAGACAGGGUCUCGCUCUGUCACCCAGGCUGGAGUGCAGCAGUGUGAUCACGGCUCACUGCAGCCUUGUCUUCCCGGGCUCUAGCCAUCCUCCCACCUCCAGCAAUCCACUCAUCAAGUGGUUGGGACCACAGAUGUGCCACCAUGCACGGCUAAUUUUUGUAUUUUUGGGAGACACGGGGUCUCACUGUGUUUCCCAGGCUGGUCUCAAACUGCUGAGAUCAAGCGAUCCACCCACCUUGGCCUCCCAAUGUGCUGGGAUUAUAGGCGUGAGCCACUGCGUCCCGCCCCACAGUGUUUUUAGAAGGGAGAAACGCAAACAUUAGCGAGGUGUUAAAGCUUCUUAGCUUCAAACUGAUACUUUCUCUUUGAUUAACUGGAUCAUUU